rnacentral:sRNA from 1 species
GUUUUUUUUUCCCAUUUUCAUUUCCUUU